rnacentral:rRNA from 1 species
CCUACGGGAGGCAGCAGUGAGGAAUAUUGGUCAAUGGUCGGGAGACUGAACCAGCCAAGCCGCGUGAGGGAUGAAGGUACAGAGUAUCGUAAACCUCUUUUGUCAGGGAACAAAGGCGGGGACGUGUCCCCGGAUGAGUGUACCUGAAGAAAAAGCAUCGGCUAACUCCGUCCCAGCAGCCGCGGUAAUACGGAGGAGGCGAGCUUUAUCCGGAUUAUUUGGGUUUAAAGGGUGGGCAGGGGGUCUGUUAAGUCAGCGGUAAAAGCCCGGGGCUCAACCCCGGCCCGCCGUUGAAACUGGCAGUCUCGAGUUGGAGAGAAGUAUGCGGAAUGCGCGGUGUAGCGGUGAAAUGCAUAGAGAUCGCGCAGAACUCCGAUUGCGAAGGCAGCAUGCCGGCUCCACACUGACGCUGAGGCACGAAAGCGUGGGUAUCGAACAGGAUUAGAUACCCCAGUAGUC